AUGGAUCACAGCCUCCGAAUCAUUAACUGGAACGUCCGCGGCCUAAACACCCGCGCCAGGCGUACUGCCAUCCGCUCACUUGUUGUAGCCUCCAGCGCUACGAUCGCUUGCUUCCAGGGAAUAAAGAUGGAGUUUAUCUACUCGUCAACGAUCCUCGAGAUGUUGGGGUCAGAGUUUGACGACUACGUCUACCUCCCUGCGAGCGGCACCCAUGGCGGGAUCUUGUUGGCUUGGAAGAGCCGGGAUGUGUCGAUCACGGACACGAUGUUCACCACCAACACUCUCUCCGCCCGGUUGGCGACUCCCGAUGGCUCCAGCGCGCCCUGUUGGCUCACCAUUUUCUACGGGCCCCAAGAUGACCAUGGCAAGAUUGCGUUCCUUCAGGAAAUCCGCGACAUGCGUGCCGCCUGCUCCGGACCAUGGCUCGUCUACGGCGACUUCAACCUAAUCUACCGCGAUGAGGAUAAGAACAACGACAACCUCAACAGACGCAUGAUGGGGAUUUCGGCGUGUGCUCAACAACCUCGCGCUCAAGGAGGUCUACCUCAAAGGCCGGCGCUAUACUUGGUCGAACGAGCAGAACCCGCCUACCUUGGUCCAUCUCGAUCGGGUGAUGUGCUCCGCGGACUGGGAGGAGCUACACGACGAAUGCCACCUACGCUGUUUGGCCACGGUUGUCUCGGACCACUCCCUCAUGCUUGA
rnacentral:rRNA from 1 species